rnacentral:rRNA from 1 species
GAGUGGCGGGCGGCUUAACCAUGCAAGUCGAGCGGGCGUAGCAAUACGUCAGCGGCAGACGGGUGAGUAACGCGUGGGAACGUACCUUUUGGUUCGGAACAACCCAGGGAAACUUGGGCUAAUACCGGAUAAGCCCUUACGGGGAAAGAUUUAUCGCCGAAAGAUCGGCCCGCGUCUGAUUAGCUAGUUGGUGAGGUAAUGGCCCACCAAGGCGACGAUCAGUAGCUGGUCUGAGAGGAUGAUCAGCCACAUUGGGACUGAGACACGGCCCAAACUCCUACGGGAGGCAGCAGUGGGGAAUAUUGGAUAAUGGGCGCAAGCCUGAUCCAGCCAUGCCGCGUGAGUGAUGAAGGCCCUAGGGUUGUAAAGCUCUUUUGUGCGGGAAGAUAAUGACGGUACCGCAAGAAUAAGCCCCGGCUAACUUCGUGCCAGCAGCCGCGGUAAUACGAA